rnacentral:lncRNA from 13 species
AUUUUUUCUAAUUUACAGGAUCCAAAUGGUUUAACCCCAAUUUUAUUUUAAAACUUGGGGGGUUUUGUAAACUUCAGAGACACUGAGGCUGAAGUGGCCAGAAACAGACUCACACAAGUCCAUGUGCACACACACCACGGCACAUACCAUCACACACACCAUGGCACACACCACCGCACACACCACCACACACACCAUGGUACACACCAUCACACAUACCAUGGCACACACCACGGCACACAACAUCCCACACACCAUGGCACACACCACCGCACGCACCAUGGCACACACCAUCCCACACACUACCACAUACGCCAUCACACACCACAGCACACACCAUCCGACACACCACUGCACACACCAUGGCACACACCACUGCACGCACCAUGACACACACCAUCUCACACACUACCACAUACGCCAUCACACACCACAGCACACACCAUCCGACACACCACUGCACACACCAUGGCACACACCACUGCACACACCAUGACAUGCACCACCGCACACACCAUGGCACACACCAUCGCACACACCAUGGCACACACCAUCGCACACACCAUGGUACACAUCAUCACACAUGCCAUCACACAAACCAUGGCACACACCAUGGCACACACCACCACACACACUACCACACACACCUUGGCACACACCAUCCCACACACCAUGGCACACACCACUGCACACACCAUGGCACACACCAUCCCACACACCAUGGCACACCCCAUCUUGCACACCACAGCACACACCAUCCCACACACCAUGGCACACACCAUCCCACACACCAUUGCACACACCACGGCACACACCAUCCCACACACCAUGGCAUGCACCACUGCACACACCACGGCACACACCAUUGCACAUACCACAGCACACACCACCGCACACACCAUCCUACACACCAUGGCAUAUACCACGGCACACACCAUUGCACACACCAUCGCACACACCAUCCAACACACCAUCACACACAUUAUCGCACACACCAUGGCACACACCAUCGCAUACACCAUCACACACACCAUGGCACAUACCAUGGCACACACCAUCGCACACACCAUCGCACACACCAUGGCAC